AAUUAUUUUAUAUAAAAAUAAUAAGAUUUUACUACUAGUAAGCUAAACCAUUAAGUUUUAGUCUAAUUUAUAACCUUUUUUUUUAAGUUACUAGCCCAAAAAAUUAGUGCCUAUUCAAGCCCAAAUUACAAGUCCAUACUCCUAAUAGGAUCAGGAAAAUAAAACCCCAAAACCCUCACAACUCUUACUCUCUCUCACGUAAGAAAAGAAGAAAAGAAAAUCCUCACUUCCCUUCUCCUCUUUCACGUAAAGCACAAAAAAAAAAAAAAAAACCUCACGAAGCUGCUGCCCAGCCGGCGUCUGCACUGCCGCCUCCCCUCACCAGACGCCGCCGCGCCACCAGCAGCCACCUACACGCAGGACUCAUUGUUAGUAGUUACCACGCAGUUACCACUCGCUGUAUUCCUUUUCCCCAUUUUCACAAACGCGCAAAUUUUCUCACUUCUCUGAAACUGCUCUAAAGUGAAAGCUCCUCAAAAACUCCUCUAAAGCUUCUCCAAAACUCAUUCAUCAAAAAAUAUCGUCAAGUUGUACCUGUGGCUGUAUCAAAAGACCAAUGAAACUUGUUGAACCAAGUCUUGGGGCAGCUAUUGCAAUAAGCCUUGCGGUUAACCAUAUAAAAGCAGAAUUUUACUACAAAUUUGACAUCUAUUUUUCCUUCUUGUAAUUAGUAGGAAAGUGAGAUGAUGGUAUCAUUUGAUACUUUGUGCUCUAUAUUAUGAGGGUUCAAUAUUAUUUUAAGCUUAUUCUACAAGCACUUUUAAAAGGGUGAACGACUUAAGAGAGGAUGAUUUCUACAAGAAGUUCUCGGAUUGUUAUGUUUUAGAAAUCACAAUGCUCUAUUUUGUUUGGUUCUAAUCAUAUCUUAUCACUCUGUUCUUUUAGGAUGACAUACAUGUCCUUUGUAGUUGAAAGUUGGUGAUAUAUUUGUAAUUUACAAGCACGUCAUGUUCUAUAUUGUAUAAUUGAUGAUGUAAUGUCGAAUUAAUUGGGCCUUACGUGGUUUAGAUUAAUAUUUAUUGUAUUUAUUAUAAAAGUUGGGUUAAUAAUU